UGCGGGGGUGAGCAGGGAAGGAGGAUCACCGAGACCACAUGUUCAUGUCCCUCCCUCACAGGGAGCUUGGUUCCUAUCCACGCCAGGGCAUCCUCCUCCUGUCCUCUGACUUUUUCAGCACUCGAGGGAAGACUUUCCCUUCACCAGUGACUACCUUAUGUCAGCCCUUGCCUGGAGCCUCACGCAGAAAACUCCCCACCUGCCAUUCAUUUCCUUCUCCCCGAGGGCCUAGUGUCACCACUGCCCAGGCUGGCUGGCCACAACGGCCUUGGGACAGCCCUGGCUUCUGGGCUGCUGCUGUGCAUGCCCACUAGGAGCCAGACCAGCUAAGACUAUUCUGAGAUGGAGAGGCAGGUGCGACAGGGGAAGAAUACACCAUGGUGGCCUGAGGGCAGGUGUGCUGAUCCUGGUGGCCCUCAAGUUAGCAUCCCACCAAGUACAGCCUCAGCUCCAUGACCCGGCCAUGCCUCCCCAACGUUGGCAUCUCUUGGUGGGGCCAGCCCCAGCCUUGAGCCCCAGGACAAUUGCUGUGCCUGCCUCCCUGCCUCCUCCAGCUCCAGAAGGGGCAGCCCUCCAUAGUCAUCCAGGCUCUCCUGGGGGCAUCCUCCAUUUCGAUUCCCAGAGACCAGAGGGUGCAGUAGACAGAAGCCCUGUCCUUCCUGCCCAGGCCCAGAAUGCUGCCUUUGUGAGGGAAGCAGAAGGGGCCAGCCUCAGCUCUCAAGACCCAGUUCCAGCUGCCUGGCCUGAGCCUGGAGGAUGGACCCCAUGCCCACCCCUACCCCACUGGGCGAGGCCUGUGCGUCAUGUGCCUGGAUGGCACCCAGCUUUGCAGGUUGCCUCCCUCUAUUUGAAGGUAGAGGAAGGGGAGUCGCUAAGCAAGGUCACCAUGAUUAAUUGAUGAACACAGCUCAUCCCAGAUUUGGAGAGGAAAUGGGUCACUGUUAGAGGCCCUGGCCAAGAGCAUGCACAUGUCACCUCUGAGUCUGCACAUGUCACCAGCCAAUGGGGAGAGGCUUCUGGAAGGUGUCGGGAAGAAGGUGGCUGAGUGAGAGUCAGCCCAAGACCAGAGAAUGUGGAUGGAUGGCAGACGAAACCUCCAGGCAUCACUAGAGGUGGCCUUAGAGACAAAAUUAAAAUAGUAGAUCUUUGACGACAGAGGGGUUAGGGGAACCCACACCCCCUCCCCCACACAGUUGAAAAUCUGCAUAUAACUUCUCCAAAAUUUCUCCCCCAAAACUUCACUAAUAGCCCACUGUUGACCAGAAGCCUUACAUAUAACAUCAACCGUUGACUAACACAUACUUUAUAUGUUAUAUGUGUUCUAUACCGUAUUCUUCCCAUAAAUAAGCUAGAGAAAAGAACAUGUUACUAAAAAAAUCAUAAGAGGGAAGACAGUCAUUAGGUGGAAGUGGAUCCUCAUAAAGAUCUUCAUCCUUGUCAUCUUCAUGCUGAGCGGUGUGAUGGUUAAUACUGAGUGUCAACUUGAUUGGAUUGAAGGAUGCAAAGUAUUGAUCCUGGGUAUGUCUGUGAGGGUGUGGCCAAAGGAUAUUAAUAUUUGAGUCAGUGGGCUGGGCAGGGUGGACCCACCCUUAAUCUGGUGGGCACAAUCUGAUCAGCUGCCAGUGAAUAUAAAGCAGGCAGAAAAACGUGAAAAGGCGAGACUGGCCUAGCUGGAUGCUUCCUAGCUGGACUCUCCCUAGCUGGAUGCUU
rnacentral:lncRNA from 1 species